UACGGGGGGGGCUAGCGUUGUUCGGAAUUACUGGGCGUAAAGGGCGCGUAGGCGGCCUACUAAGUCGGACGUGAAAUCCCUCGGCUCAACCGGGGAACUGCGUCCGAUACUGGUGGGCUCGAAUCCGGGAGAGGGAUGUGGAAUUCCAGGUGUAGCGGUGAAAUGCGUAGAUAUCUGGAGGAACACCGGUGGCGAAGGCGGCAUCCUGGACCGGUAUUGACGCUGAUGCACGAAAGCGUGGGGAGCAAACAGG
rnacentral:rRNA from 1 species